rnacentral:sRNA from 1 species
AGGUAACUAUGAUAACUCUGUAGGCAUUACUUCGAACGAGUUAAAGAAUCGAAUACGUUAUGAAAGCCCUUCUACUAGUGAUUAGCCUUGUCGUGAUUAGCGUGGUGGUGAUUAUUAACCCACUGUGCGGGGCAACGCUUGGAGCAAGAAAGGCUUAAAAAUCAAGCCAGAACUCUAAAAAACCCCCCGCACCGAAAGGUCCGGGGGUUUUUUUUUGACCUGGCAAAAACUUAGUAAAUCUGCAAGGAACAAACAAUGAACAGUAGCAUAAAAUUCUGUUGUUCCCC